rnacentral:tRNA from 1 species
GGCCGGUUAGCUCAGUCAGUUGAGUGUGACGCUAACAACGCUAAGGUUGCGGGUUCAAUUCCUGUUCGGUCC